UACGGAGGGUGCAAGCGUUAAUCGGAAUUACUGGGCGUAAAGCGUGCGCAGGCGGUUUGUUAAGUCCGCUGUGAAAUCCCCGAGCUCAACUUGGGAAUUGCAGUGGAUACUGGCAAGCUGGAGUAUGGUAGAGGAAGGUGGAAUUCCCGGUGUAGCAGUGAAAUGCGUAGAGAUCGGGAGGAACACCAGUGGCGAAGGCGGCCCUUCUGGACCAAUACUGAACG
rnacentral:rRNA from 1 species